rnacentral:rRNA from 1 species
AUACGGAGGGUGCAAGCGUUAAUCGGAAUUACUGGGCGUAAAGCGCGCGUAGGCGGUUUGAUAAGUCGGAUGUGAAAUCCCCGGGCUCAACCUGGGAAUUGCAUUCGAUACAGUCAGGCUAGAGUGUGGUAGAGGGAAGUGGAAUUUCCGGUGUAGCGGUGAAAUGCGUAGAUAUCGGAAGGAACACCAGUGGCGAAGGCGGCUUCCUGGACCAACACUGACGCUGAGGUGCGAAAGCGUGGGGAGCAAACAGGAUUAGAAACCCCAGUAGUCC